rnacentral:rRNA from 1 species
UACGUAGGGUGCAAGCGUUGUCCGGAAUUAUUGGGCGUAAAGGGCUCGUAGGCGGUCCAUCGCGUCGGGAGUCGAAAGCUGGGCUUAACCCCAGUCCUGCUUCCGAUACGGGUGGACUAGAGGUAGGCAGGGAGACGGAAUUCCUGGUGUAGCGGUGAAAUGCGCAGAUAUCAGGAGGAACACCGGUGGCGAAGGCGGUUCUCUGGGCCUUACCUGACGCUGGAGGAGCGAAAGCGUGGGGAGCAAACAGG